GGAUUUUGAACUGGUGUGAGCUCAAAGCCCCAUUAAAGGGGGAAAAUAAUUGCCCAUCAACUUAUGGAAUGAAAACAGGAUUUGCGUCAUCAAACAUCAGGUGGAUUUGAGAACUAAACCAUCCUUGUUAUCAACAGGAGGAUAAAUGGCAAGGGUUCCCAGGACAACCUCAAAUGCUGAACCAUUAGGAUUGAUUACAAGAGUCAAAAUGGUUACGCCAGAAUGGAAACAGGCAAUCAUUUAACUACCUCAAACUUCAUACAUGUCGCUUAAAUGCAAGCCCCUCAAAAGUUCUCACACCACAUGCUGUUUUCAUUUUGAAGAGUUAAAACAAAUAACAAAGGAAGAACAAAACCUCAACAAGCAUUAGAACCCAGGCACUGAGAAAUGGUUUCACAAAUUUCAUAGCAAUAACAAGCACUAAGAAAUACAUACCAUCUCACAUUACACUCAUUUGCAUAAAGCAGUGGAUCAUAAUACUAGAUAUUAUAC
rnacentral:misc_RNA from 1 species